AUACCCGCAGCCCAAGUGGUGGUCGAUUUUAUUGAGUCUAAAACGUUCGUAGCCGGUUCAUUAAAUCCUUGGGUAAAUCGGAUGGCUUAACUAUCCGAAUUCCGGGGAGACUGGUGAACUUGGAACCGGGAGAGGUAAGAGGUACUACAGGGGUAGGAGUGAAAUCUUGUAAUCCCUGUGGGACCACCUGUGGCGAAGGCGUCUUACCGGAGCGGGUUCGACGGUGGGGGACGAAAGCUGGGGGCACGACCCGAAUUAGAUUCCCGGGUAGUCCCAGCCGUAAACGAUGCUCGCUAGGUGUCAGGCAUGGCGCGACCGUGUCUGGUGCCGCAGGGAAGCCGUGAAGCGAGCCACCUGGGAAGUACGGCCGCAAGGCUGAAACUUAAAUGAAUUGGCGGGG
rnacentral:rRNA from 1 species